rnacentral:sRNA from 1 species
ACUCGCACACGGAAAAACGGGCGAGUAUAAAUGAAGGAUGAAUUGCUGUGUGUACUUCGGGGCCUGGCGGAUGUCGGCAGGCCCUGGUUUUUUAA